GCUUACGCCACACCUCCCUGAGCACUGCCCGAUCUCGUCUGAUCUCGGAAGCUAAGCAGGUCGGGCCCGGUUAGUACUUGGAUGGAGACCGCCUGGGAAUACAGGUGCUGUAAGCC
rnacentral:rRNA from 1 species